rnacentral:rRNA from 1 species
UACGAAGGGGGCUAGCGUUGCUCGGAAUCACUGGGCGUAAAGGGCGCGUAGGCGGACUCUUAAGUCGGGGGUGAAAGCCCAGGGCUCAACCCUGGAAUUGCCUUCGAUACUGAGAGUCUUGAGUUCGGAAGAGGUUGGUGGAACUGCGAGUGUAGAGGUGAAAUUCGUAGAUAUUCGCAAGAGCACCAGUGGCGAAGGCGGCCAACUGGUCCGAUACUGACGCUGAGGCGCGAAAGCGUGGGGAGCAAACAGG